UAUCUUAAUUUUUCUUUAGUUUCAGUCUUUGCCUCUUUCACAUAAUUUUACACAAGCUAAGUGCUUUACAUUUGGACAUUGUAAAAGCCUUUCCAUUGAUCAUCCUGGAAUUACAAAUAGGUUGAUGCUUAUUGCCAUAUGUGCUCCAUUGGAGUAUGAUCACAAGAAGGUUUGAACUCGACAUGGAAAUCAUUUUUUUACUAGUUUGGUAUGAAAGUAUUUUCAAGUACAUGGUUUGUUGUAAUUUAGGCACAAUGGAUUUGGUAAUGCCAUUAUGAAUGAAUUUUUUCCAAGUGUGAUUUUUUUUCUUAUUUGAAAAUCAGCUUAUCUACUUUAAUGCAAGGUUUUUAAUUUCCACUGGUUUGGUAUGGUUCAGUGAGUAUUACCUGUCUAAACAGUGACUGAGGCAUGAACCACUUGAAAUCGGGCAGUCUGGUAUGCUUCACUUAAUUUUCUUUUCUUUUAAGAACGUACUACUCAUGAGGAGUUGCACUGUGCUAGGGCUCAUGGAGUCAUGCGAUUCCUCUUCACCAUCACUGCCCAUGCACUGUGGCCUCAGCUGCCCACACGCUGCUCCCUUCACCCAUUCUGAGCUGGUCUGGAAUAUGCGUAUACAGAGCUUCGUUUUUCUUCCUGAAAACCAUGAUAAUAAUAAGACUAAGGUAAUCCAUGUGAUGACUGUCAUCUGGUGUAAGUCAUUGACAUUAAUUGGUUUUCUUGAUCCAUUUAGAUUAACCUUUGCUAACAAGUGUGCAAGACAUCUUGUAUAUCUCUUUUCUUAUGUACAGGCUGUAGGCCUAUCAAGCCCAUCUUUGCCUUAGUUUGAAAGGGUCAAUUGGUCGUAAGUUGCACAGAUGUUGACUCACUCCCACUACAUAGAUGACAAUCUAAACACUGUGCUCAGUUGUUAGGUGCCACCUGCAGAGAUUAGAGUUGCACAAAAAUUGUUUGUAAGAUAAUUUUCAUUAUUUUGAUGAUUCUAAAUUUGGGUCAACUUCUUUUUUUGGGCUUGAUCUUCAAUCCAGCACAUUACUUGUAUUCUUCUUUUGGCUAAUUUUCUUAUCUAUUUUUUCUGAUAGAUCACCUGAGGUAAGUCACAUUCCAAAA